GCAAAACGCGAAGAACCUUACCCACCUUUGACAUGUACGGAAUCCUUUAGAGAUAGAGGAGUGCUCGAAAGAGAGCCGUAACACAGGUGCUGCAUGGCUGUCGUCAGCUCGUGUCGUGAGAUGUUGGGUUAAGUCCCGCAACGAGCGCAACCCUUGCCAUUAGUUGCUACAUUUAGUUGAGCACUCUAAUGGGACUGCCGGUGACAAACCGGAGGAAGGUGGGGAUGACGUCAAGUCCUCAUGGCCCUUAUAGGUGGGGCUACACACGUCAUACAAUGGCUGGUACAAAGGGUUGCCAACCCGCGAGGGGGAGCUAAUCCCAUAAAGCCAGUCGUAGUCCGGAUCGCAGUCUGCAACUCGACUGCGUGAAGUCGGAAUCGCUAGUAAUCGUGGAUCAGAAUGUCACGGUGAAUACGUUCCCGGGUCUUGUACGCACCG
rnacentral:rRNA from 1 species